AUAGAGACUCAGAGCUGCAUAUCAAUAAGCGGAGGAAAAGAAACUAACAAGGAUUCCCUUAGUAACGGCGAGUGAAGCGGGAAGAGCUCAAAUUUGAAAUCUUCAAGGUUCUACCUUGACGAAUUGUAGUUUAUAGAAGUGUUUUCUGUUAGUGGAGUGGCAAAAGUUCUUUGGAAUAGGACAUCAUAGAGGGUGAGAAUCCCGUAUUUGGUCAUUCCUCCUAGCGUUGUGAUACACUUUCAACGAGUCGGAUUGUUUGGGAAUGCAGUCCAAAAUGGGUGGUAAAUUUCAUCUAAGGCUAAAUAUUGGCGAGAGACCGAUAGCGAACAAGUACCGUGAGGGAAAGAUGAAAAGAACUUUGAAAAGAGAGUUAAACAGUACGUGAAAUUGUCAAAAGGGAAGCGUUUGACACCAGUGUUGCUUUUUCCGAAAAUCAAUUACGAAUGUUUUGUUUUUAAGAAGUUAUGACUUCAUCGGCUUGCUUCUUUCUUUACGAAACUUUCUUAAUGCACUUUCCGGUUAGCAAGUCAACAUCAAUUUCUUUUGUUGUAAAAGGGUAUGAGGAAGGUGGCUUUCUUUUCGGAGAAAGUGUUUAUAGCCUUGUGCCUCUGCAAUCGGAGAGAUUGAGGUCUGCAGCGUAGAUCCUUCGGGGUUAGAUACGUUUGUGCUAAGUUAUAGCUUUUCAUAGACAACUUGUUGACUAUGUUUAGUCUUGUAGCUUACUCGCUUACGCUAUUUUACCUACGCUUAGGAUGUUGACGAGACUGUCGAUCUC
rnacentral:rRNA from 1 species